ensembl:snRNA U6 U6 spliceosomal RNA
UUGUGCUCACUUCAGCAACAGAUAUACUAAAAUUGGAACAAUCCAGGGAAAAUGAGCAAGGUCCCUGCACAAGGAUGACACACAAAUUUAUGAACCAUUCCAUAUUUUU